UACGAAGGGGGCUAGCGUUGCUCGGAAUCACUGGGCGUAAAGCGCACGUAGGCGGCUUUUUAAGUCAGGGGUGAAAUCCUGGAGCUCAACUCCAGAACUGCCUUUGAUACUGAGAAGCUUGAGUCCGGGAGAGGUGAGUGGAACUGCGAGUGUAGAGGUGAAAAUUCGUAGAUAUUCGCAAGAACACCAGUGGCGAAGGCGGCUCACUGGACCACAACUGACGCUGAUGCGCGAAAGCUAGGGGAGCAAACAGG
rnacentral:rRNA from 1 species